UACGUAGGGGGCAAGCGUUGUCCGGAUUUACUGGGUGUAAAGGGCGCGCAGGUGGGCUUGAUAGUUAGAGGUGAAAUCCUGUGGCUUAACUGCAGAACUGCCUUUAAUACUUCAAGUCUUGAGUGCGGAAGAGAGAGACGGAAUUCCAGGUGUAGUAGUGAAAUACGUAGAUAUCUGGAAGAACACCAGUUGCGAAGGCGGUCUCUUGGUCCGUAACUGACAAUUAGGCGCGAAAGCGUGGGGAGCAAACAGG
rnacentral:rRNA from 1 species